CCUACGGGAGGCUGCAGUGAGGAAUAUUGGUCAAUGGACGAGAGUCUGAACCAGCCAAGUAGCGUGAAGGAUGACUGCCCUAUGGGUUGUAAACUUCUUUUAUAUGGGAAUAAAAUGUUCCACGUGUGGGAUUUUGUAUGUACCAUAUGAAUAAGGAUCGGCUAACUCCGUGCCAGCAGCCGCGGUAAGACGGAGGAUCCGAGCGUUAUCCGGAUUUAUUGGGUUUAAAGGGGGCGUAGGUGGAUUGUUAAGUCAGUUGUGAAAGUUUGCGGGUAAACCGUAAAAUUGCAGUUGAAACUGGCAGUCUUGAGUACAGUAGAGGUGGGCGGAAUUCGUGGUGUAGCGGUGAAAUGCUUAGAUAUCACGAAGAACUCCGAUUGCGAAGGCAGUUCACUGGACUGCAACUGACACUGAGGCUCGAAAGUGUGGGUAUCAAACAGGAUUAGAUACCCUUGUAGUC
rnacentral:rRNA from 1 species